rnacentral:SRP_RNA from 1 species
GCCAGGUGUGGUGGUGCACACCUGUAGUCCCAGCUACUCGGGAGGCUGAGGCAGGAGAAUUGCUUGAACCAGGGAGGCGGAGGUUGCAGUGAGCCGAGAUCGUGCCACUGCAUUCCAGCCUGGGUGACAGAGUGAUACCCUGUCUCAA